UGGGGAAUUUUGGACAAUGGGGGAAACCCUGAUCCAGCCAUCCCGCGUGUGCGAUGAAGGCCUUCGGGUUGUAAAGCACUUUUGGCAGGAAAGAAACGUCAUGGGUUAAUACCCCGUGAAACUGACGGUACCUGCAGAAUAAGCACCGGCUAACUACGUGCCAGCAGCCGCGGUAAUACGUAGGGUGCAAGCGUUAAUCGGAAUUACUGGGCGUAAAGCGUGCGCAGGCGGUUCGGAAAGAAAGAUGUGAAAUCCCAUAGCUCAACUUUGGAACUGCAUUUUUAACUACCGGGCUAGAGUGUGUCAGAGGGAGGUGGAAUUCCGCGUGUAGCAGUGAAAUUCGUCGAUAUGCGGAGGAACACCGAUGGCGAAGGCAGCCUCCUGGCAUAACACUGACGCUCAUGCACGAAAGCGUGGGGAGCAAACAGG
rnacentral:rRNA from 1 species